AGGCCUGAGAAAUUGAUGUGGUUGUACUUUUGCCCAUCUGUGAAACAUUGCUUGCCGCCUGCUGUUCUUUAGGACUCUGAUCAGUUUGCGACUUGGUUGGCAGAUCAGAAUUCAACAGACGGCUCUGUUGAAGCAUUCUUUGAACUGUUGGUUUAGCUUGACCAGUCUGCUUCUGGUGUGUUUGUGACUGUGGCUGCAUAUGCUGAUGGUUGGAAGCAAUAAUGCCUGCUGGAAGAGCUUGAUGUGCAGCAGAAAGUGCAUGACCAGUUACUGAUGGAACAUGACCUUGAGAGUUAUUAUCAGAAUCAGAAGGCAUCUGCUGCAGUUGCUUCGAUGAAGGUGGCGCUGAGCCAGAAAAUAGCUUUUGCUGCGGCUGAGACUGGUUCGAGGAUUGAGAAGCAACCGAUGGUUUAGAUGGUUGUAUUGAACUCAAGCCAGUACCUGAAUAUAAAAGUGCAUGAUGUGUUCUCCUUUCUCUGCACUUUGAUUUCCUGAAGGCACGGAUAGGCCAUUCAAAUGAGAAUGAUCAGUGGGAAGGUUCUGAUGCACCACCACAUUCCCUCUUCCCAUUCCCUUCAAAAGUUUAGCCUGCUGGGGAGAUUGUGAGUGUUGUCGCUGCUGAGGAUGGAUCCGGCCAGACUGUUGAAACUGCUGUUGUUGCUGUGGCUGCCGUGGUCUUUGUUUCCCCAUCUGAUUGGUCAACCCACUGGCAACAGUUUGAGAGUUCCGACUGAUCCCGUGAUGCGGCAAGGCAUGUUUCUGCUGCUGCUGUACUGAUAU
rnacentral:misc_RNA from 1 species